CGAGUUCCAGCAACGUUCUAGAAGUCGCUUCCAAAUUGUCUGGCGUCAUUGGUAGUAGUCAUUUUUCAUAUGUUUUUAGGUUCUUCCCCUUCAUUUUCUAGGGUUUAAAAAAAAAAAUUUUUCGAACAGAAAACGUAAAAAUGAAAAACGCCCAAAAUAAAAACAGGGCCGUCUGUUUUUUUUUUUGUUUUUUUCCCCCAUCACCCACCCUUUUUUCCUUCUUCUUCUAUAUCCUUUUCUCGCAACUGGGCGAGCAAACGUUUCCAAUGAGGUUUCAAGUCCUAGCGCUUCUUCUACAAACAAAUCUACAGACAUACGCAGGACGCGCAUAUUGAAAGAAUGACGGACAGACAGCUACGCUCUUGACCAAUCCCCCUGCUGGAAGAAGCUCGUCUCUUGUCGAAGAGGUUUUUUGGUGAGUCGGUGCGAUGUAAGAAUCAUCAGUAUUUGUGCAGCCACUUUGAGUUAAAGACUGGGCGUCCAACUCGGUCCGCCUUUUCUCUCGCACUGUAUAACUCUCAUUUGUAAAAAUGUGUCUAAACAUCUGGAGGCGUUUGUGGUGGACAAGCUUGUCGACAAGGAUGCAGUUUGGUUUUUUCUUCUUUUUGAUUUGUGUGUCUUUUUAGGAGCCGUUGUGAAUUGAGUCGCGUCAAGAAAGGCACGAGUGUGACGGUGACAUCAUGACUGGCGUCAUCGAGUUGGAAGAGCGCACGUCCCUCACGCUCCACCUGGCCGGUUGUACGAGUCUUGUUCUUGUUCUUAUUAUUAUUAUUUUCGCCAUUGAUUUGAACAGAAUUUGAUUUGUUUCGUUUGCCAACAACUUUUCACGUCCGCCUGCCGGGCCUGAUCCUUUGCUCAACCUGUGAUCGUAAACCUAGUAUUACCCUCCUUGUGCGGGAGGAGGUGAGCAAAGUUUCAGGUGCGUUAGUUGGUUGCGUGCAUCUCAUCUCAAUGAACUCAUCUCGAGCUAGACAUUUGUUGUUGUAUCUUGUCCAUUGGCACACAUCAAAGUCGUCAUCCAGAUCGGUGUAUUUUCGCUCUCAGCCUGAUUCUUGCUCGACCUAUGCUUCUAUCAAUGGGCGAGGUGAGCAAAGUUUCAGGUGCGUAAGCGGCACCUCCAAUCAUCUUAUACAUUUACGACUCAUCAACGUGUGCAUUCACUUCAACGAGAAAUCGCGUUUUUCUGUCGCGAUCAUCGUGAUUCGUUCAGUUGCUUUGUUCUGCAAAAAUGUCAUGUGGUCCUCCCAACAUGUUCGACCGAGUUUUCUUCUUGUUCGUCUUUAAUUAAUACACGACGUGCUUGCGACUUAAACGGA